CUGAUGUGUUGCUUGAUUUUUUUAUGCAUAAAACUAUGAUUGAUUUUUUAGGAAUGUUCCUGCAUCACUUUCACCUUCGUUUGAUACUCGCAUUGGGAGGGCACACAGAAGCGCAAUUGAGAACAAGAAAGGGAAUGUGUCUGCAACACCAACUUUGUCUGGUACUCGCACGAGGGCACGCAGCUGCGCAACUGGGAACAAUAAAGAGAAUAUGGCUGCAACACUUUCGCUUUCAUUUCCUCGCACGAGAUCACACAGCAACGCGACCGAUAUUCAUCCAAUGAAUGUUGCUGCAUCACUUUCACUUUUACCCGGUACUCAUAAACGCCAUAGGUCUGCUCAGUUCUCAAAGCAACUGAGACUAAUGUAUCUACCACUGACAGUGAUAAGGCCCCUGUUGCAAAGAGAGUCAAGACCAACAUCCAGGCAAGCAGCAGCAGGUCCGUUCUGUCAUAUAAAAAAGAGACUGAUAUUGAUGUGGUUCCACACACUUUGCGUUUCUUUCCUGCACGGGAACCUGGACCACAGCUGAGUCCUGCAGACGCACACACACCCCUGAGUCUCUUCAAAAUGUUUUUUCCUGAGGAUGCAGUUUCAACUCUUUGCCAUAACACCAACGCUCAGGCUGCCAGGGCAAAAGCAAAGGGUUCCAAGUAUCAAUCAAUCAAUAUCAAUCAAUAGUUUAUUUAUAUAGCACUUUUUAAAACAGCAAGUGUCUCACAAAGUGCUGCACAGACAAAGCCAAACAGCUUAAAAUAAAAUAUAAUAUAAAAUAAAAAUGGUAAAAAAAAAAUUAAGUAAAAACCUAGUAUUAAAAACACACAACAUUAAACUCAAUAAAAGAAUAUCAGUACAGUCCUCUUUAAACACAAGAAACAUAAAAAGAACAGCUCUCAAACUGAAUUAAAAGCAAGACUAUAAAAAUAAGUUUUGAGAUUGGAUUUAAAAAGGGAAAUAGUUUGAACCUGUCUUAAGUCUUGUGGCAGACUGUUCCAUAGUUUCGGUGCUGCUACCGCAAAAGCUCGGUCACCCCUACUUUUUUUUGUUCUAGGGACACUCAGGAGGGUGUGGUCAGCUGACCUAAGAGCUCUAAGUGGAGUGUGAGGUUUUAAUAAAUCUGAAAGGUAGCGAGGUGCUAACCCAUGUAAUGCUUUAAAAACUAACAUCAGGAUUUUAAAAUCAAUUCUAAAACGUAUAGGAAGCCAAUGUAACGAUGCAAGAAUAGGUGUAAUGUGAUCACGCUUACGAGUACCAGUCAAGAGUCGAGCAGCAGCAUUCUGUACCAUCUGUAAACGUGAUAAAUAAGUUUGACUAAUGCCCACAUAGAGGCCAAAUGGAAAAGAAGGAAGUAUAAAUGGAAAGAUGUCAGCGUCACUGAGAUGUACCGCUACAUUGGACUACUAUUUUAUA